rnacentral:lncRNA from 1 species
GAGGAUGUUCAGCAAAUCACGAAAGAGUGGGAAGUGUUAAGCAGUCAGGGAGCUCCUCUGAAGGAGAAGGCUGAACAGCUGAAGGACCUUGUCCAUCUCCACCGGAGGCAGCGAGAGCGAAUCCAGGAAUAUGAGGAAAUCCUAUACAAGACAGUCCAGUUCCACCAGGUCAAGGAAGAGCUGGUCCAUCUCAUCAAACCAAGAGAACUGGAACUUCUAGCACAGCCCAUGGAACUGGCAAGUUCUGAGGAGGUCCAGAUGCAACUGGGCCGUUCGCAAGAAAGGCGGGCACAUGUAGACCAUCUCCAUCAGCUGGCCCUGACCUUAGGAGUGGACAUCAUUUCAUCCGUGCAACAACCUAAUUGCUCUAAUAUUUCUGCAAAGAACCUGCAGCA